rnacentral:sRNA from 1 species
CCCCCACGGACACGCAACUACCAUUUUGGCUAGCUGAGAACCAGGCCUGUCUUUGUUCUACCCUUCCACUGCCAACUUUUUCUUAGUGGUCAGCUGGGGAACUAGGCCCUUGUUUGUUCUGAUCCAGGGAUUCAGAGUGACUAAGCACUUAUUGUCCCCGCCCGGUAACUAGGAUAGGACAUUUUUAUUUGGACAAUCUCUGAUUCGAACCUGUGAUAGCAUGUUGGCACACCCUGCAGCGAUUGCGCUGACACGGACCUCAUAACCUGUUAGGCCACUGGGGCAAAAGAGCUCUCUCACACCAGCGCCAUGCUGGUAGUAGAGGGGACGAACCAAUCCAAACCCCCCCAACAGUUCGCUGGUGUCGGUAUUAUUAAUCCCCUGAGGGUCAAGCACUACCACAAGGAUGUGAGGCGGGACGAUUGCUUAACUCAAUAAGAUGAAGAUUCCCAUCCAACAGACGUGAAAACCCCCUGACCUG